GAGGGGAAAAGAUUUUGCGUGUCGAUGUUAUAAACAUCAGUUAAAGAUGGCCCACUGUGGACAGGGAUUCAAACACAGACCUGCUUUAUUUUGGCUUGGUACAAGGGAAGUCUUUCUACGAUGUGAGUAGCACUGCUGUAAUCCCAUUUCAGCUUUAGUGCUGGCAGCAAGAGCUGGGACAUCAGCAUGCUGCUCCUUCCAAUCACACUCCAUGACUGGGCCCCACACCAAGGAUGCAUU